rnacentral:lncRNA from 1 species
GUCAGUCGCUGCUCCGCGUCGCCUCGGGGGUUCGCAACGCGUUUCAGGACGACGAGGUUCGCGGUGGCUGUCUCGAGGUUCCCGUCCGCGAUAGCAGCGGCGGUCUCGAGGAGCAUCUGCCGCGAAGAUGAAGCCACCGACGACGAGGAGGGCGAGCACGAGGCGGAGGACGAGACGGUGGUGGAAGAGGAAUUGGUGGGCGAAGCGGAAAGCGGGUUCUUUGCCGACGUCGGCGGCGUGAUGAGCUGCUGCAUCGCCUCGCUCCACUCGGCCGUGGUCACGGCCGAGCCUGACGUGCUGACAUC